rnacentral:rRNA from 1 species
GGUGAAGAUGAUGACGGUAUCCAGAGAAGAAGCCCCGGCUAACUUCGUGCCAGCAGCCGCGGUAAUACGAAGGGGGCGAGCGUUGUUCGGAAUUACUGGGCGUA